CUGCCUAAGAGCGGGUUUCAGAGUUAUUGUAAAUGCUUAAUGCUGUUAUAAUUGCAAGGACCGAGCCAAGACGACAGGGACUAUGCAGAUUUAUUUGCAUAUACUGUUGCACUUUGAGAAGGGGCGUGCUCUUUAUUUUGAUCCAGUUAACGCGAUUCUUCCCUCACAAAGCUGUGGAUACCUGCCAGCCACCAUUUAUCUCCACUCUUCAUUAGGAUUUCUGGGCGUUACAAUCGUAUAAAUAAGUAACAGAAGAAAGGCAAGAAUAUCCUGGGGAAAAGUGCUUUAUUGCGCUGGCUCCCAGGGAACGCGGCCACGGGCGGGUCGGACCCGCUCCGCCACCAGACCCCGCCACCUCCGGCAGUUAAGCCGGACUCUAACACCGGCCUCUGACCCGGGCCCAGCGGAGCCCCGCGCUCCCUCGGAAAUUCUGCCAUUCUCUCGGACGAGCCCAGGCUGUAAUAUUCUUAGGUCUGAACAGCGCUGAGCCUUUCAGGUGAGCUGCCAAAACAACAUGAUGCAACACGGGCCGCGCUGUUACACCCGCUCCCGUCCCGCUGCGCCUCCGCUCCCUCCGGAGACCGUAAUUGACUGAUCAGCUCCCUGCGACGAGGCUCAAUAACAGGAUGUGCAACACAUCUCUAAAAAUUGCAUCAACCGCGACCCCAGCGGAGCUUGUCCUUGUGCUGUGUGCUUUGCCGGGACUGCAAUAGUUCUGUUAUGUGAACUCAUGUCUGCUGAAGAACAUGAGAACUGCACCAUCCUUUAGCUCCAUUAUGAAACGUUUCAUUAUUUUUAUUACUGGCUGCUAAAAUGAUGACCUUCUUAUUAAAGAUGUUACCUUCUUAUCAAA